CAGACUGGCGGUGUGUCAUGACCAUAGCUUGUUUGUCACCUGUUCCAACGACAGCCAGGUUCAAUUGUGGUAAUGUGGGAGACUAGAAGGAAAAAACAUCGCAAAUCGCUCAAAAGUCACCUUGAAAUUAGAGGGUCAGGUAAAGCUGCUAACAUUCUUUGAGGGCUCCAAUUCACUCGCGGCUGCAACUGACAAGGAUGCUAUUAAUGUUUAUGAUGUUGGCUCUGGCAAGACCACUGAGGUGGACUCUCGAACUGUAAACCUUCAGCACCAUGGACAGCUGGUGGACAUGACCCACUUUAAUACAGGUCUGUAUAAUCCUUUCCCACUCAGGAUGGACAUAUGCAACCAGCAUCAAACCAGAACAUCAUGCGAGUAACUUGAGUAAGUCG